rnacentral:rRNA from 1 species
ACACCUGGUCCCAUCCCGAACCCAGCAGUUAAGCCCCUCAGCGCCGAUGGUACUGCAGCCUCAGGCCGUGGGAGAGUAGGUCACCGCCGGCC